CAAUGAAUAAACGUUAAAAUUUAACAUAAAUAAUCAGAUAAAUAACUUUUAUAGCUGAAAUAAGUUAGGCAUAUCAAAUACGUAAAAUUUACGUAGAUUACCUUUCCCGCAAUAUCGAUAUGGUUACCUUUCUAGGGUUAAAAGGUCCAAUUCUUUGAGUGUAGCAUACGGCUCAACCUUUUCAAAUUUGUACCAUUAUCAGAAAUAAUUGUGGUUGGCAUUCGACAUGCACAUGCGAUUGAAACAUUGGACGGCCGAUUUUUUUCCUAUGUUAUCCGAUGAGGGUCGCUAUAUUCCUUCUAUCAGCGCCGUGAUCGUAUAGUGGUUAGUACCUUGCGUUGUGGGGGGAAGCAAACAUUCAACUAUGAUAUGUUGUGUUGUUUCAAUUCACAGUGCCGCAAUAACCCCGGCUCGAAUCCGGGUCACGGCAAAAGAGAAAUUUUUUUGCUACACUCUAAAAAUACACACCAUUUUUCGAGUGUACACUCUAAAAUACACACCAUUUUUUGAGUGUACACUCUAAAAUACACACCAUUUUUCGAGUGUACACUCUAAAAUACACACCAUUUUUUGAGUGUACACUCUAAAAUAGACUCCAUUUUUUAAAAUUUAUUAUUUAUCAGUAUAUUAAUUGUCGAAAUAGCCGUUGAACAACGGUAUGGUUGUGCUGAUGAUGAAUGUUGUAUAUGUCUUUAUUUUGUGUUUUUUGGUUUUGUUUGAUGCAAUCGUAUCAAUCUCGCCAUGGAACUGGUUCAAAAUGAAGAAACGAAUGACAUGACGCCUAUUCAAAAUCAAAUUGAUACUCCGAACAAAUAGAUUUAAUUGCAAUCCAAAACGGAGGCUCGAGAGAGAACAAUCAACUGUGUGAAAAUCCAACACACAAUCGGUGACAGUGGCGCCGCUACUGUCAAUAGUCAAGAAAGUGGUGAACAAGAACUUGGCAACAAAUUAUAUUGAUAUAUUGCAAAUAAUAUUGGAUCAAAUAAUAACGAAUGUGGAAAAUGAAUGGUUCGAUUGUCUGAUUAUAAUAAAGUACAUCAAAAAUUCAACAGAAUCCAAGUAUGUGGAUGGACAAGAAUCAAAAAUAGAUAUAAUGAUGAUUUGGCAAAAAUCUAACUGAACCUCAUCUACUCGUCAAAUCCAAGUCCAACUAAUCAACAACUGAUGUUUGUACCGCCAUCUGUCGUAUUGUGGUAUCGUUUUUUUUUAUCAUCGUCAUGAUUAAUUUUCCAACUAAAAAACAUGAUCGAAAUACGAAUUUUCAAAAAAAUAUAAAAACAAAAAUAUAUCGAUUGUAUCGGUUCCAGUGUGUUUGAUUAUAUCAUUUUGUAUGUACAGUAAUACCCGCUUAACGCGGGGGUUACGUUACAAAAAUUCUGAGCGUUAAGCGAAACAGCGCUAAGCGGGGCUAAUAAUUCUACCGAUUUGAACAAAUUAUCAAGAUCUGAUCCAACGAACAAUGACUAUCAAUAAAAUAGUUCCAAUGGUGAUAAAGCAUUGUCUUUAUCCAUUACCGCAAAACACACAACUUGAUGAGAGCCGGGAGAUUUUCAAUAACAUGAUAAGUCUUUCAUCAAGUAAAUAUCAUUUGGAUAAAUAUAUAGAAAAUUUACCAACUUACAUCCCGGCCGUACAUGAAGUUUGGAAUAGUAAAAUUCCAAAUACAAAUUCAGUUUUAAAAUUUUCUUGGGUCAAGCCAAGUGACCUUUGUCGAUUGAUAUUGUCGAAUAAAUCAAUAGUUUCCCAAUUGUUGUUGGAAAAAAAAUACAAAGACGACAAUUCAGAUGAAUUACGAUACACUGAACAUUUGCAAUGUUCAGCUGAGCGUAAAAAUCGUUUAUUGGGAACACUCCAAUUGGAGUUUGGAUUUGAUGAUUUCUCAAUUGUCAAUCAGCUCGGAGUCAAAAACAAAAAUCACACAUAUAUGGGACUCUAUCUGACGUUUCCACAUAUCCCAUUGAAAAUGAGACUGAAACAGAAGAACAUUUUCAUGGUGAUGUUAGUGAAUCGAAAAGAUAUGAGAGAAAAUGGUUACCAACUGGCUGAUAUUUUUCGGCCAGUCAUCACAGAUUUGAAAUCAGCGAUGACUGAGGGAAUUUUAAUCGACAAUAAAAAUUUCAUAAUUUCCAUUAGCGCUAUUUGCGGCGAUAAUAAGGGAACUUAUGAAUUAUUGGGCUACAAUACAGCUUUUCAAACCCGUUCAUUCAUAUGUCUGGUAUGUGGAGCCAAGGGGGCUAAAAUGAGCUUGGAAUUGGCAAGCAAAGAAUAAAUUUUUCUAAUAUUUGCUAUGACCAAAUAUUAAAAAAUGAGCAAAAUAUUAAAAAAAAUAAAGACAAAAUAUUCGGAUUAGAAAAAUAUUGCGUCUUCAGUGAGCUGCCCAAUACUUAUAUUUCUCAGUUGGCGCCACUUGAUUGCAUGCAUGAUUUCGAAGAAGGAAUCGAAGAGCAUAUUGAGCAUAUGCGAUGUUGAAGCUGUUGAAAAUUUCAACCGAAUUGGUUCAAAAUGUUGUAAAUACCAAUUUCUUCAACAAUGACCGUAUACAGAUCAGGGGUUCCUGCAAAACAAAAGGCAAAAGCUUUAAACUAAAAGGAACUGCUGCAUCGAAAUUGGAAUUUUUCAUCCGUUUGGAAGAAAUUAUUACUCAAAUACGAAGUGAUUUCCAAACUCACAAAACGGCAUUCGAAUUAUAUAGAAUUUGCAUUGUUGUCACAUUCCUUUGCGCUAAACCAAGAUGAAAUCUUGAAAUUAAAACAAUGCGCAAAGAAUAUUGUUGACAUUUAUGCUACAAUCCCAGAAUGCAAAUUAACGCCCAAAUUCCACAACAUAUUGCAUUAUUGGGAAGAUGCAUUGGAAUUUGGACCAAAUUAUCGUCACUCUUCGUAUAAAUACGAACGAUUCCAUCAAUUGAACAAACGUUCAAUUUCGACAUGAAAGAAUAUGAAAAAUCCAUCUUAUUCGAUGGUGAAUUUCAUUCAGAAAAAGAUAGCCUUGACACUCUUGAAAGAAAAUUCUUUAGAGCAAAAUUUUUACGAAGAAUAUU